UACGUAGGGGGCAAGCGUUGUCCGGAUUUAUUGGGCGUAAAGAGCGUGUAGGCGGUCAGGUAGGUCCGUUGUGAAAACUCGAGGCUCAACCUCGAGACGCCGAUGGAAACCAUCUGACUAGAGUCCGGAAGAGGAGAGUGGAAUUCCUGGUGUAGCGGUGAAAUGCGCAGAUAUCAGGAGGAACACCGAUGGCGAAGGCAGCUCGCUGGGACGGUACUGACGCUGAGGCGCGAAAGCGUGGGAGCAAACGGG
rnacentral:rRNA from 1 species